GACGAACGCUGGCGGCGUGCUUAACACAUGCAAGUCGAACGGAAAGGCCCAGCUUGCUGGGUACUCGAGUGGCGAACGGGUGAGUAACACGUGGGUGAUCUGCCCUGCACUCUGGGAUAAGCCUGGGAAACUGGGUCUAAUACCGGAUAUGACCAACUGUCGCAUGGUGGUUGGUGGAAAGCUUUUGCGGUGUGGGAUGGGCCCGCGGCCUAUCAGCUUGUUGGUGGGGUAAUGGCCUACCAAGGCGACGACGGGUAGCCGACCUGAGAGGGUGAUCGGCCACACUGGGACUGAGACACGGCCCAGACUCCUACGGGAGGCAGCAGUGGGGAAUAUUGCACAAUGGGCGCAAGCCUGAUGCAGCGACGCCGCGUGAGGGAUGACGGCCUCGG
rnacentral:rRNA from 1 species